rnacentral:antisense_RNA from 1 species
GAGGCAGGCUGGGUCCGCCUGGCAGCCUACGGGAGGAGGCGGGAGCCGGGAAGGAGGGGAGCCGAGGCCCGGCGUGGGGAGGCCGGCAGGAAGGGCCUCGAGCCCAGUGCGGACCUUUCUUCAGCCUCUGUGCGGCCGAGCCGCGCGCCAGGCUGCUGUGCGAGGAGGACGCGCUGACUUCCUCCGACAUGGGCUCUGAUAGAGCAGAAAUAGCGGGACCUGGACUUGUGGCGCGCCUGGUGCCUGGUGCCACAUCUCGGGCUCUGCGAGCCUCCUGGCGCGGGAUCCUGCCGUUUGCAUCCAAGAGAGGGGAGGACAGGGGCAAAAGGAUGCAGGGAGGCUGCUGAUUUCCACUGGAGAGCUAAUUUCCUGUGAGAUAUUAACCGUGAUUUAAGAAAAAAAUUCCUGUAACUGUAAUGUCUUACAAUAACAGAAUGCAGGAGAGCACAUAUCAAUGAAGAAAAGACAAAAUGUAUUUAUCCAUGAAGCUGAGGUUAAGAAACCAGUGUCUUCAAGAGCCGGGGACAGCACUGGGUCUGUGCAGAGUUGAGAGAUGGUGAUGACAUGUGACAGAGCUCCUUUCUGCUCAAAUUUUAUGCCAGAUAAAAUAUUCACCUUCUCGGACUCCCUGGCACCAGGCAUGGCCAUGUAAUCCUACAGCACAGCUGAUGAAAGAGAAGCCAUCUUGCUGCUAUUUGACAAGCAAGAAGAUAAAAGCUUUCCUAUAAAGAUGAUGGAGCAAAAAGAUAGAAGGGGCCUAGACUCCCUACCUUCACACUUCCUGCUAUGAAAGCAUUGCUAUUAUAAGGUUAAUCUGCAGAAACAGACUUCUAUGUCAUAUGCUUAAAUGCAUCAAAAUUCAUACAAUAUCCAUUAAAUUGGUAAAAGUAUCCAUCUUAAAGGAUUAAUCUGAGGGACCCACAGACACUUAACACAAUCAAAUCUCAGAAAAAAAAUCAGUUAUUUCAUUGUUAUUUUGAGGCUGAUCUUUUAUGAUCUUUUAGUUAUCAAACUGUUAAAUACAUUUUAACUUUCAAAUUUUAUGAAUAAAGGAGAUGAAUCCUGUUAUUUUCUCAGUG